AACUGAUACUACCUGCGGGAACCUGCGGAAGGAUCAUUACAGAGUUGCAAAACUCCCUAAACCAUUGUGAACGUUACCUAAACCGUUGCUUCGGCGGGCGGCCCGGGUCCUUCCCGGCGCCCCUCGGCCCUCGCGGGCGCCCGCCGGAGGAAAACCAAACUAUUGCAUUGUAUGGCCUCUCUGAGUCUUCUGUACUGAAUAAGUCAAAACUUUCAACAACGGAUCUCUAGAUCGGAAGAG
rnacentral:misc_RNA from 1 species